AGAACUUGAACAUGACUGCAAGUACUAAAACAGCUCAGGGAGAUUCAGGGAGAUAGAGCAGUGUCUGGAAAGAGAUGUGACUUUUCUGCUUGCUGUGCUAUCAACAGUGCAGUCUUUUAAAUUGUGGGGAACAAAACAUCAUUUAACAGAAAUUGAGACAUCAAAAACAGUGUGCUGUUUGUGCUACUGAGUAACUCCACUGGGAAUUUGGAAAACCAGAAGCAAGUCUUGAAUGUUUGUUAUUUCCUUGAAGACCUUAACAGUGCUAGGAAUUAGUGCAGCAACCAGAGAACAUGU
rnacentral:lncRNA from 1 species